CAAGGUUAAAACUCAAAUGAAUUGACGGGGGCCCGCACAAGCGGUGGAGCAUGUGGUUUAAUUCGAUGCAACGCGAAGAACCUUACCUGGCCUUGACAUCCAGAGAACUUAGCAGAGAUGCUUUGGUGCCUUCGGGAACUCUGAGACAGGUGCUGCAUGGCUGUCGUCAGCUCGUGUUGUGAAAUGUUGGGUUAAGUCCCGCAACGAGCGCAACCCUUAUCCUUUGUUGCCAGCGGGUNNUGCCGGGAACUCAAAGGAGACUGCCGGUGAUAAACCGGAGGAAGGUGGGGAUGACGUCAAGUCAUCAUGGCCCUUACGGCCAGGGCUACACACGUGCUACAAUGGCGCAUACAAAGAGAAGCGACCUCGCGAGAGCAAGCGGACCUCAUAAAGUGCGUCGUAGUCCGGAUCGGAGUCUGCAACUCGACUCCGUGAAGUCGGAAUCG
rnacentral:rRNA from 1 species